rnacentral:rRNA from 1 species
GACGAACGCUGGCGGCGUGCCUAACACAUGCAAGUCGAACGGAAAGGCCCCUUUGGGGGUCCUCGAGUGGCGAACGGGUGAGUAACACGUGAGUAACCUGCACUUGACUUCGGGCUAACUUCAGGAAACUGGGGCUAAUACCGGAUACGAAUCCUUGCUGCAUGGUGGGGGUUGGAAAGCUUCGGCGGUUUUGGCUGGACUCGCGGCUUAUCAGCCUGUUGGUGGGGUAGUGGCUUACCAAGGCUUUGACGGGUAGCCGGCCUGAGAGGGCGACCGGGCACAAUGGGACUGAGAUACGGCGCAGACUCCAACGGGAGGCAGCAGUGGGGAAUAUUGCACAAUGGGCGGAAGCCUGAUGCAGAAACGCCGCGGGCGGGAUGACGGCCUUCGGGUUGUAAACCGCUUUCAGCAGGGGCGAAGCUUGUGGUGACGGUACCUGCAGAAGAAGCACCGGCUAACUACGUG